UACGGGGGGGGCAAGCGUUGUUCGGAAUUACUGGGCGUAAAGGGCGCGUAGGCGGUGCUCUAAGUUAGAUGUGAAAACUCUGGGCUCAACCCAGAGCCUGCAUCUAAAACUGGAGUGCUAGAGUUCUGGAGGGGGUAGCGGAAUUCCUGGUGUAGCGGUGAAAUGCGUAGAUAUCAGGAGGAACACCGAUGGCGAAGGCAGGUCUCUGGGCAUUAACUGACGCUGAGGAGCGAAAGCAUGGGGAGCGAACAGG
rnacentral:rRNA from 1 species